UCCAGCUCAUCGCUGGCAGUCCCACUAGAGUGCUCGGCAGCCGAAGCCCCGUUUGCAACUAGUGGCAAUGGUUGCGCUCGUUUUGGCACUUAAGCCAACACCUCACGGCACGAGCUGACGACAGCCAUGCAGCUCCUGUGCAAGUUCUCGAUUGGUUACGAGUCGUCGCCCUUUCAGGUCCCUACUUCCUGCAUGUCAAGCCUGGGUAAGGUUCUUCGAGUAGCAUCGAAUUAAACCACAUGUUCCACCGCUUGUGCUGGCCCCCGUCAAUUCCUUUGAGUUUCAACCUUGCGGUCGUACUCCUCAGGUGGGGCACUUAUCGCGUUAGCUGCGGCACUGAAUCCUCAAGGGACCCAACACCUAGUGCCCAUCGUUUACGGCUAGGACUAC
rnacentral:misc_RNA from 1 species